rnacentral:rRNA from 1 species
CCUACGGGGGGCAGCAGUGGGGAAUAUUGGACAAUGGGGGCAACCCUGAUCCAGCCAUGCCGCGUGUGUGAAGAAGGCCCUCGGGUUGUAAAGCACUUUCAGUGAGGAAGAACGCCUGGUGGUUAAUACCCAUCAGGAAAGACAUCACUCACAGAAGAAGCACCGGCUAACUCCGUGCCAGCAGCCGCGGUAAUACGGAGGGUGCGAGCGUUAAUCGGAAUUACUGGGCGUAAAGCGCGCGUAGGUGGCUUGAUAAGCCGGUUGUGAAAGCCCCGGGCUCAACCUGGGAACGGCAUCCGGAACUGUCAAGCUAGAGUGCAGGAGAGGAAGGUAGAAUUGCCGGUGUAGCGGUGAAAUGCGUAGAGAUCGGGAGGAAUACCAGUGGCGAAGGCGGCCUUCUGGACUGACACUGACACUGAGGUGCGAAAGCGUGGGUAGCAAACAGGAUUAGAUACCCCGGUAGUC